AGCGAACGCUGGCGGCAGGCCUAAUACAUGCAAGUCGAACGCACCUUCGGGUGAGUGGCGGACGGGUGAGUAACGCGUGGGAAUAUGCCCUUUGGUACGGAACAACUGAGGGAAACUUCAGCUAAUACCGUAUGUGCCCUACGGGGGAAAGGUUUAUCGCCAUUGGAGUAGCCCGCGUUGGGUUAGCUAGUUGGGAGGGUAACGGCCUACCAAGGCUACGAUCCAUAGCUCGGCUGAGAGGAUGAUCAGCCACACUGGGACUGAUACACGGCCCAGACGCCUACGGGAGGCAGCAGUGGGGAAAAUUGGACAAUGGGCGAAAGCCUGAUCCAGCCAUGCCGCGUGAGUGAUGAAGGCCCUAGGGUUGUAAAGCUCUUUCAGUGGGGAAGAUAAUGACGGUACCCACAGAAGAAGCCCCGGCUAACUUCGUGCCAGCAGCCGCGGUAACAC
rnacentral:rRNA from 1 species